UUAGCAUAUCAUCAGCGGAGGAAAAGAAACCCAUCAGGGAUUGCCUCAGUAACGGCGAGUGAAGCGGCAACAGCUCAAAUUUGAAAUCUGGCUCCUUCGGGGCCCGAGUUGUAAUUUGCAGAGGAUGCGUCGGGUACGGGUGCCUUCCGAGUUUCCCUGGAACGGGACGCCAUAGAGGGUGAGAGCCCCGUCUGGUAGGACACCCAGCCCGUGUGACGCUCCCUCGACGAGUCGAGUAGUUUGGGAAUGCUGCUCUAACGGGAGGUAUACUCCUUCCAAGGCUAAAUACCGGCUGGAGACCGAUAGCGCACAAGUAGAGUGAUCGAAAGAUGAAAAGCACUUUGAAAAGAGAGUCAAACAGCACGUGAAAUUGUUAAAAGGGAAGCGCUCGCUACCAGACUUGGGUUCGGCGGUUCAACCGGGGCCACGCCCCGGGGCAUUCCGCCGGCCCAGGCCAGCAUCAGCUUUCCGUCGGGGGUAAAGGCGUCGGGAAUGUGGCUCCCCUUCGGGGGAGUGUUAUAGCCCGUCGUGUCAUACCCUUCGGGGGGCUGAGGUACGCGCUUCUGCAAGGAUGCUGGCGUAAUGGUAGCUAGUGACCCGUCUUGAAACACGGACCAAGGAGUCAACCUUAUGUGCGAGUGCCCGGGCGUAAAACCCCAGCGCGGAAUGAAAGUGAACGUAGGUGAGAGCUUCGGCGCAUCACCGACCGAUCCUGAUGUCCUCGGACGGAUUUGAGUGAGAGCAUAUAGGGUUGGACCCGAAAGAAGAUGAACUAUGCGUGUGUAGGGUGAAGCCAGAGGAAACUCUGGUGGAGGCUCGCAGCGGUUCUGACGUGCAAAUCGAUCGUCAAACAUGCGCAUGGGGGGCGAAAGACUAAUCGAAUCUUCUGGUAGCUGGUUUCCGCCGA
rnacentral:rRNA from 1 species